rnacentral:rRNA from 1 species
UGGGGAAUAUUGCACAAUGGGCGCAAGCCUGAUGCAGCAACGCCGCGUGAACGAAGAAGGUCUUCGGAUUGUAAAGUUCUGUCCUUAGGGAAGAAGAAAGUGACGGUACCUAAGGAGGAAGCCCCGGCUAACUACGUGCCAGCAGCCGCGGUAAUACGUAGGGGGCAAGCGUUAUCCGGAAUGAUUGGGCGUAAAGAGUACGUAGGUGGUUUCGUAAGCGCAGGGUGAAAGGCAGUGGCUUAACCAUUGUAAGCCUUGCGAACUGCGAGACUUGAGUGCAGGAGAGGAAAGCGGAAUUCCUAGUGUAGCGGUGAAAUGCUUAGAUAUUAGGAGGAACACCAGUGGCGAAGGCGGCUUUCUGGACUGUAACUGACACUGAGGUACGAAAGCGUGGGGAGCAAACAGGAUUAGAUACCC